rnacentral:rRNA from 1 species
CUAUGCAAGUCGCAAACUUUUAUUUACAAUUGAAUCGCCAGGGUACUACGAGCAGAGCUUAAAACCCAAGGGACUUGACGGUACCCCAUAUCCACCUAGAGGAGCCUGUCCUAUAAUUGAUAACCCCCGCUAAACCUCACCACCAUUAGCUUAUUCAGCCUGUAUACUUCCGUCGUCAGCUUACCCCGUGAGCGAAGUCAAGUCAGCAUAAUGCCUAUCCGCCAACACGUCAGGUCAAGGUGCAGCAAACAUGGUGGGAAGAGAUGGGCUACACUUUCUAAUCUAGAAAACACGAAAGACUACAUGAAAACAAGUCAGAAGGUGGAUUUAGUAGUAAAAAGAAAAUAGAGUGUUCUUUUUAAAUUGGCCCUGGGGUAAGUACACACCGCCCGUCACCCUCCUCAUAGCGUAAACCCAGUAUAUAACAAUUCCAGGCACUGUAGAAGAGGUAAGUCGUAACAUGGUAAGUAUACCGGAAGGUGUUCUUGGAAUGAGACAUAGCUU